rnacentral:misc_RNA from 1 species
UCAGUUUCUUUUUCUUUGUGUAUUCUGAUUUUUUAGCGAUUGUUUGAUUGUUGGUUCCUCAGUUAUGGUGUUUGGUUUGAAGGAAAGAUGGGAGUUACUGAAAAUAAAUAUUUUUCUUUUUUAAGUAAAAAUUUGGUAGCUUGGUUUUUAGAUUACGGAUUUUCAUUUGUUAGCUGAGUUGUCUCAACGCUAAUUCCUUUUGGAGAAGCAAAGCGGAUUGUCAUUUUGGUGUAGUUUGUUGGAUUUCUAACUUUUCCAAUGUUUUUCUCAACAACUAGAUGUAGCAUCUUGAUUAUUCUGUUCUGACAUAUGUUAGGCCUUGCGAUUUUUGGACAACG